UACGUAUGGUGCAGGCGUUAUCCGGAUUUACUGGGUGUAAAGGGAGCGCAGGCGGUUCUGCAAGUCUGAUGUGAAAGCCCGGGGCUCAACCGCGGGACUGCAUUGGAAACUGCGGGACUGGAGUGUCGGAGGGGUAAGCGGAAUUCCUGGUGUAGCGGUGAAAUGCGUAGAUAUCAGGAGGAACACCGGUGGCGAAGGCGGCUUACUGGACGAUGACUGACGCUGAGGCUCGAAAGCGUGGGGAGCAAACAGG
rnacentral:rRNA from 1 species